rnacentral:misc_RNA from 1 species
CCCUCCCCCCUUACAGCCCCCCCACACUCUUUGCCCCCAUGGCAACUAACCUAUAAGGAUAUGUUUCAGAGGCUGGUUUCUCACACUUACGAAAAUUCACUAAGUGUUGUACAUAAUGAGUUAGGAUUUCUAAAGACACAGAUAAAGUUUUGACCCCGACAUCCGAUCUGAUGGUGGGACUGAAAAAAAAAAAAAAAGAUACACUAAAA